GAUGAACGCUAGCGACAGGCCUAACACAUGCAAGUCGAGGGGCAGCACAUGAGUAGCAAUACGAUGGUGGCGACCGGCGCACGGGUGAGUAACACGUAUGCAACCUACCUGUAAGAGGGGAAUAACCCGGAGAAAUUCGGACUAACACCGCAUAAUACUGCGAAGCUGCAUGGCUUUGCAGUUAAAUAUUUAUAGCUUACAGAUGGGCAUGCGUAACAUUAGAUAGUUGGUGAGGUAACGGCUCACCAAGUCAACGAUGUUUAGGGGUUCUGAGAGGAAGGUCCCCCACACUGGUACUGAGACACGGACCAGACUCCUACGGGAGGCAGCAGUGAGGAAUAUUGGUCAAUGGGCGAGAGCCUGAACCAGCCAAGUCGCGUGAAGGAAGAAGGUUCUAUGGAUUGUAAACUUCUUUUGUAAGGGAAUAAAAAGAGUUACGUGUAACUUAUUGUAUGUACUUUACGAAUAAGGAUCGGCUAACUCCGUG
rnacentral:rRNA from 1 species